GAAUUUAAUAAAAUAAUUUAAAUAUACUUAUUUAAAUUAUUUUAUUUAAUUGGGAGGAUUUUUAAAUUUAUAUAACUUUAAAUAAUAAUUAAACAUUAAUUUAUGAAAUUUAUUAAAUAAAUAAAUAUUAUUUAAAUAAAAAUUAAUUACCUUAGGGAUAACAGCAUAAAAUUUUUUUGUAGAUCUUAUAUAUAAAAAUAUUUGU
rnacentral:rRNA from 1 species